GAUGAACGCUGGCGGCGGUGCAUAACACAUUCAAGUCGAACGGAGUUAUUUGGAGUUAAUCCUUCGGGAAGCGUCCGGAUAGCUUAGUGGCGGACGGGUGAGUAACGCGUGAGCAACCUGCCCCUGUGUGUGGAAUAACGUUUGGAAACGAACGCUAAUACCGCAUAAUGCAUGGAGAUCGCAUGGUCACCAUGCCAAAGAUUUAUUGCACAGGGAUGGGCUCGCGUCCGAUUAGAUAGUUGGCGGGGUAACGGCCCACCAAGUCGACGAUCGGUAGCCGGACUGAGAGGAUGAUCAGCCACACUGGGACUGAGACACGGCCCAG
rnacentral:rRNA from 1 species